rnacentral:lncRNA from 1 species
GAGGACUAUCACUAUCUCCUUCUUCCCGAACAUCAAGUAUACAUAAAAAGUGAUGAAAGUAAUGAGGAACCAUUAAAAAAAUAUAUAUCCUGUCACUGUUUUUCCAAUGGACGUCUCAGGUUGUCCUGGAUUAUUUCAGGAGAGAUUAAGACAUCUAAAAGUGGAAACUUGAUUUCCUGGCUUCUAAAGCUGUGAGAAGCAAUGAUUUUCUGGAGAAGAAAAAGAAAGUGCCAAGAAAAGGAGCUUUGGGCGCUUAAAUGCUACAACAACGCACUUUGGAAGCGUGAGGGAGCAGCCAGAGCCAUGCAAGUGCUGUUUGCUCUUCCUGCACGUACCGAGCUGGAGGCUCCCAGUCCCUGUGCCACUUCUCAGUUCCUGAGGGUUUCGCGCCUGCUGCCAGCUGUGCCCAGGGCUCCUGCUGUGUGCUGGAGCAAGUCCUUCGUCAGGCAUCGAGGGGAAGGACUUGGGAAGUUUCCAUAUCUGGGGCUGAGCCCCGAUGCCUGGUGUGCUGGAUUCACCAUACACCAGCAGCACGACGAUCAUCCACUUCAUUCCAAGCACCUGCCUGCCUGCCAAACAUCCUUGCUCUGCUCUGAUGACAGCCUCUGUGAUAGUUCCUGGGAAGCUGGUGCUCGCACGUGUGCCAGGGACUGGCUGGUGACUGCAAACAGAAUUCCCGUCUGGACCAACCCCCUGAAGAGCUGGGUCUGCUGCAGCUCCAGCUGCACAGUGGCUACAUCAAAGUCCAGGGAAGGAAGGCUGCCCUUGUGGUUGGUGGCUAAUGAAUCAUGGUGA